rnacentral:misc_RNA from 1 species
GAUGAAGAACGUAGCGAAAGGCGAUAAGUAAUGUGAAUUGCAGAAUUCAGUGAAUCAUCGAAUCUUUGAACGCACAUUGCGCCCGCCAGUAUUCUGGCGAGCAUGCCUGUUCGAGCGUCAUUUCAACCAUCAAGCCCCAGGCUUGUGUUGGAGCCCUGCGGCUGCCGCAGCCUCCCAAAACCAGUGGCGGGCUCGCUAUCACACCGAGUGCAGUAGUUUACUCUUCGCUCAGGGCGUGUGGCGGGUGCUAGCCGUGAAACCCCCAACUUCUCAAGGUUGACCUCGGAUCAGGUAGGAAUACCCGCUGAACUUAAGCAUAUCAAUAAGCGGAGGA